AGGGGUGUCGUCAAGCGGUAAGACAACGGAUUUUGAUUCCGUCAUUCGUAGGUUCGAAUCCUGCCACCCCUGCCA
rnacentral:tRNA from 1 species